GAUGAACGCUGGCGGCGUGCCUAAUACAUGCAAGUCGAGCGAACGGACGAGAAGCUUGCUUCCCUGAUGUUAGCGGCGGACGGGUGAGUAACACGUGGAUAACCUACCUAUAAGACUGGGAUAACUUCGGGAAACCGGAGCUAAUACCGGAUAAUAUUUUGAACCGCAUGGUUCAAAAGUGAAAGACGGUCUUGCUGUCACUUAUAGAUGGAUCCGCGCUGCAUUAGCUAGUUGGUAAGGUAACGGCUUACCAAGGCAACGAUGCAUAGCCGACCUGAGAGGGUGAUCGGCCACACUGGAACUGAGACACGGUCCAGACUCCUAUGGGAGGCAGCAGUAGGGAAUCUUCCGCAAUGGGCGAAAGCCUGACGGAGCAACGCCGCGUGAGUGAUGAAGGUCUUCGGAUCGUAAAACUCUGUUAUUAGGGAAGAACAUAUGUGUAAGUAACUGUGCACAUCUUGACGGUACCUAAUCAGAAAGCCACGGCUAACUACGUG
rnacentral:rRNA from 1 species